UACGGAGGGGGCAAGCGUUGUUCGGAAUUACUGGGCGUAAAGGGCGCGCAGGCGGCUGCUCAAGUCAGGCGUGAAAGGCCUGGGCUCAACCCGGGAAUUGCGCUUGAGACUGGGCUGGCUUGAGUGCGGGAGAGGAUGGUGGAAUUCCCAGUGUAGAGGUGAAAUUCGUAGAUAUUGGGAAGAACACCAGUGGCGAAGGCGGCUCUCUGGACCGGUUCUGACGCUCAGGCGCGAAAGCGUGGGGAGCGAUCCGG
rnacentral:rRNA from 1 species